AUGCAGUCGAACGGUGAAGCAGAGCUUGCUCUGUGGAUCAGUGGCGAACGGGUGAGUAACACGUGAGCAAUCUGCCCCUGACUCUGGGAUAAGCGCUGGAAACGGCGUCUAAUACCGGAUACGAGCUGCGAAGGCAUCUUCAGCAGCUGGAAAGAAUUUCGGUCAGGGAUGAGCUCGCGGCCUAUCAGCUUGUUGGUGAGGUAACGGCUCACCAAGGCGUCGACGGGUAGCCGGCCUGAGAGGGUGACCGGCCACACUGGGACUGAGACACGGCCCAGACUCCUACGGGAGGCAGCAGUGGGGAAUAUUGCACAAUGGGCGAAAGCCUGAUGCAGCAACGCCGCGUGAGGGACGACGGCCUUCGGGUUGUAAACCUCUUUUAGCAGGAAAGAAGCGAAAGUGACGGUACCUGCAGAAAAAGCGCCGGCUAACUACGUGCCAGCAGCCGCGGUAAUACGUAGGGCGCAAGCGUUAUCCGGAAUUAUUGGGCGUAAAGAGCUCGUAGGCGGUCUGUCGCGUCUGCUGUGAAAACCCGAGGCUCAACCUCGGGCCUGCAGUGGGUACGGGCAGACUAGAGUGCGGUAGGGGAGAUUGGAAUUCCUGGUGUAGCGGUGGAAUGCGCAGAUAUCAGGAGGAACACCGAUGGCGAAGGCAGAUCUCUGGGCCGUAACUGACGCUGAGGAGCGAAAGGGUGGGGAGCAAACAGGCUUAGAUACCCUGGUAGUCCACCCCGUAAACGUUGGGAACUAGUUGUGGGGUCCAUUCCACGGAUUCCGUGACGCAGCUAACGCAUUAAGUUCCCCGCCUGGGGAGUACGGCCGCAAGGCUAAAACUCAAAGGAAUUGACGGGGACCCGCACAAGCGGCGGAGCAUGCGGAUUAAUUCGAUGCAACGCGAAGAA
rnacentral:rRNA from 1 species